rnacentral:rRNA from 1 species
UACGUAGGGUGCGAGCGUUGUCCGGAAUUAUUGGGCGUAAAGAGCUCGUAGGCGGCUUGUCGCGUCGGCUGUGAAAACCUGGGGCUCAACCUCGCGCCUGCAGUGGGUACGGGCAGACUAGAGUGCGGUAGGGGAGAUUGGAAUUCCUGGUGUAGCGGUGGAAUGCGCAGAUAUCAGGAGGAACACCGAUGGCGAAGGCAGAUCUCUGGGCCGUUACUGACGCUGAGGAGCGAAAGCGUGGGGAGCGAACAGG